CAAUGUGGCCCUGAGUCUUCUGCAGCCACAGUUCUCACCCCCUCUUUUCACGCUGUAGAAGGCACUUCCCUAGCUCUUCACAGCAUCAUCCUUCAUGCUUACACACACACUCAAAGGUUGGUGAAAACAAGCUGUGCUGUUGGCCGUUAGGACCCCAUCAUGGACAGUUGAGCAUCAGAGAAGACGCACACUCUAAAGGAGCCAUUUUAUCACUCCAACAGCUCUGGCAAACCUUGAUCGCACACUGAUGUUUCACGGCAUAACUGCAGCAGAGAAUGAGGAGCCCUUGUGCACCCCCCGUCUCACCUCCUGAACGGGCGGUGCGAGCGGAUUCUUGAACUCUGAGAGUGACACUGGGAGGGAGAACUUGGAAAGCAUCGACGGCAGGUUGUGGCCCCGGAACUGACAAGAAAACGCAUCUGCUAAUGGAGAAUAACUACAGAAAAGAGUGUCACAGUUAUUCUACAACUCUGCCUUUUCUGAGAAGGUGUGAAGACAAACGAAAGCAGUUUGGUCAUGACCAUGGAAAUGAGUAUCAGGAUUUCAAACACAUUCUCCAGCUCCCCCUAUUCUUUCUGGAGCAGAGAGCUUCACCCCUAAUGCAGGUAUGGACUUUCUGGUGGGGAGGAACAGCGAAAGCCAAGACAGAGCAAGUUGAAUUUGCACAUCCGAGACUAACAACUCUGCAUCGAGCAAGCAUCGCCACAAGAUGGAGCACAAAAUCCAGAGGACAUUCCUGCCACCCCCAAAGCUCCCUGCUGAACACCCAUCCAAUCCCAAGUGAGAACAGCUAUAACCUGCCAGGCCCAACACCCAGCUACCCAACACAGGAGUAUAUGUAACUAAUGCAGCAUCUGAGACGGGGCAAAUGCAGAGAAGCUGGCAAAAGCAGAGCUGCACCCACACUUCCUGACAGGUCUCGAGCAUCAGCAACGAACUGCUCAGCAGUGAAUGCCGAAAUCUGAGUGCUUUCACUCAGUAGUCUUAAAAAUUAGAGAAACUAAAAGAAGUGAUACAUAUUUUUAGUUUUUUCUGAAGUGUAAGUGAAGUUCUAUCAAACAGACAGUGAUGGGAGGGUGGUUAAACCGAUUUACUCUUAUGAGUUGUUCUGGAGUUACAGGUUCCAGGAUGUCUUGUGAACGUUAAUAAAGACUCAAAAGCAUUUCUGAAUGUGGGGACUGAUCCUGUUCCUCCCUUAAAAUCAAAGAAACUACCACCAUUAACAUCAAUCAGGAUGCAGGCUAGAUUUCAUAUCACCUCUUGUCCAGGAAUAAGAAGAAAAGACUAAGCUGGAAAAGAAAAUGUUGAAGGAAUUUGAAAAAUUCAGAAUAUUGCUACAUAAAAGGCAGUCUGGCACACAGGAUUAAAUAUUCAUGCUCUUGUAACUCCUGAAUCUGAGUAAGAAUUUGCUGAGCUGUCCCGUGGAUUAAUUUACUACAGAAUGAAUUCUGAAGAAACCCAAACUGGAGGCUGUCAGGUUACUCCGGUCACUGCCUUUGCUCCAUGGGAAAGGAGCUCCAUCUAGCUUCCUCCUAACUGGAAAAGGGUCCCAAAUUUAGACUCAAAUGAACUAGCAGAGAUGGCUGCCACAUCUAGAAGAUUCCGGACACUAGAAAGUUCUGGGGUGCCUACUGGGGUGAUAAGACACACCCAAAAAGAACAUCCUACAAGAAGUAACAAAAAAGCGUUUACAGCACUUUAUAACUUUGUUUAUUUACCCAGAUGCAAUUUUCUUUAGGCAGAUGGAAAACGAAGAGACAUUUCAUGCAAUUAGGAUAAAACUGACUGGAAAGUGGAGAGAAUGUAUAAUAAGAUGUGGUUAAAAAUGUAAAUACAAGCUUUCAGCUUCAUUUACAGCACAUUUAAGAAGUUGUGCCUUUCAGACAAGAUUAGCAAAAUAAAGGAAUCUGAUGCUGUGAGAGAACAGGCCACCGCUGUCAGGGCCCUGAGGGCACCGAAAGGUCUAUAUGGCCCUGACCAGCCCCAACUGGGUCCCCCACACACCCAUGACCCAGGAGCCCCAUUUAAGUUCAGCUCUGGAGCCCCAUUUAAGCUCAGCCUAGGGCCUGUAGGUGUGCCUGUCUCCAGCUCUGUCUCCUGGAUGGACAUUGGACCUACAUCAUCAUAGGUAGCUUGUCUCCUGGAUGGACUCUUGUUAAAUACAUUGCAGCCUUCUCCUCCAGCCCCGUCUCUGGUCCUGUCUCCUUUUUGCUCCUGGCUGGGGUCCCUGUACAGACCCCGGACCUGGUUCAUCACUUGCCUUGUCUGGGGCUGCUGAUGUACUUGCACAGCUUGGGGACACUUGAAUUCCAUCUUCCGAAACAGCUUAAACAUUUGGGGACUGAGUCUGGGUGAUCCUCCGUCACAUUUCUUGUAGACUCACGACUGAGUUUCAAAAGUGGAACGCUAGCAUCUUUUGAUGCUUGAGGCCAGCUCCUCACUUGGAUUAAAGCAGUCUGGUCCUCUAAAUAUCAAGCAGCAGUUGCCAACAAUCUGUUUGCACCUCUAAUUAUAGAUAGAAAGGACGACAGAAUUGGCAAGCAAAGGGGUUUUUUUCUUGAAAAAAUGAACUUAGUAAAUUUGAUGAAAAAUGAGACCAAAGCAGUUCAGUGACCGAGAUCAGUGUUGGAUACCAAAGCCUAGUUCAUUCUUACAGUCUACCAGGAAGAAGGAAUUGGACAGGGAAUAUUUUGCACAUAGAAACAUGUAAAUUCUCUCCUAGAUGUAAGCAGGACCUUUUCCAUAGCCUAGGUGACAACCGCUUUCAUUCAAAGCAACUAAAACACAAGCCACGGAGCAAAGUCUCAAUACAAACAGCAGCCUGACUGUCCACAAGAAAAUUUUAGACCUCUUUCAACACCCUACCUAUUCCAACCAAGCCUUACGAAUCGUCUUCAGCACCAGUAAGAGUUAAAAGAGUUAAAAACAAGGCUGACAUAGUUUCUAGCAUUUGUGAAGGUUUUUGAUGUGGUUUUUAUA